rnacentral:tRNA from 1 species
AAAAAGAUAAGCUAAAUAAGCUCUCAGGUUCAUACCCUGUUUAUAAAAGUCCCACCCUUUUUCUUUUUA